rnacentral:rRNA from 1 species
GAUGAACGCUGGCGGCGUGCCUAAUACAUGCAAGUCGAGCGAACAGACGAGGAGCUUGCUCCUCUGACGUUAUCGGCGGACGGGUGAGUAACACGUGGAUAACCUACCUAUAAGACUGGGAUAACUUCGGGAAACCGGAGCUAAUACCGGAUAAUAUAUUGAACCGCAUGGUUCAAUAGUGAAAGACGGUUUUGCUGUCACUUAUAGAUGGAUCCGCGCCGCAUUAGCUAGUUGGUAAGGUAACGGCUUACCAAGGCAACGAUGCGUAGCCGACCUGAGAGGGUGAUCGGCCACACUGGAACGGAGACACGGUCCAGACUCCUACGGGAGGCAGCAGUAGGGAAUCUUCCGCAAUGGGCGAAAGCCUGACGGAGCAACGCCGCGUGAGUGAUGAAGGUCUUCGGAUCGUAAAACUCUGUUAUUAGGGAAGAACAAAUGUGUAAGUAACUAUGCACGUCUUGACGGUACCUAAUCAGAAAGCCACGGCUAACUACGUG